GCGGAUGGUCGGAUGAUCGCGGGGCGGGCAACCGUUUCGAGGAAAGUCCGGACUCCAUAAGGCAACGGUGCCGGGUAACGCCCGGCUGGGGUAACCCAAGGGACAGCGCCACAGAGAACAGACCGCCACGGGACGGGUCGGGCUACCGAUACUACCCCGCGGUAAGGGUGAAACGGUGGAGUAAGAGACCACCGCGAGACUGGCAACAGGAUCGGCACGGCAAGCCCCACCGGGAGCAAUGCCAAAUAGGAACCUCGCGUGGGCAACCACAGGCUCGCUUUAGGCCAGAGGUUCGGGUUGGCAGCUAGAGGCGUCAUGGUAACAUGGGGUCGAGAUGAAUGAUCAUCGAACGCAGCAAUGCGGGAACAAAAUCCGGCUUAUAGACCAUCCGCGCAU
rnacentral:RNase_P_RNA from 2 species